GUGCUCCCUUUGGAAGCACAUAUACUAAAAUUGGAAUGAUACAGAGAAGGUUAGCAUGGCCCCUGUGCAAGGACGACAUGCAAAUUCAUGAAGCGUUUCAUAUUAAA
rnacentral:snRNA from 1 species